GAUGAACGCUGGCGGUGUGCCUAAUACAUGCAAGUCGAGCGAACAGACGAGGAGCUUACUCCUGUGACGUUAGCGGCGGACGGGGUAGUAACACGUGGAUAACCUCCCUAUAAAACUGGGAUAACUUCGGGAAACCGGAUCUAAUACCGGAUAACAUGUUGAAUCGCAUGGUUCAACAGUGAACUACGGUCUUCCUGUCACUUAUAGAUGGAUCCGCGUGGAAUUAGCUAGUUGGUAAGGUAACGGCUUACCAAGGCAACGAUGCGUAGCCGACCUGCGAGGGUGACCGGCAACACUGGAACUGAGACAAGGUACAGACUCAUAGGGGAGGCAGCAGUAGGGAAUCUUCUGCAAUGGGCGAAAGUCUGAAGGAGCAACGAAGCGUGAGUGAAGAAGGUCUUCGGAGCGUAAAACUCUGUUAUUAGGGAAGAACAAAUGUGUAAGUAACUAUGCACGUAUUGACGGUAACUAAUCAGAAAGCCACGGCUAACUACGUG
rnacentral:rRNA from 1 species